GUUAAUGUAGCUUAAAUCCAAAGCAAGGUACUGAAAAUGCCUAGAUGAGUGUAUUAACUCCAUAAACA
rnacentral:tRNA from 14 species